UGCAGAGCCGGGAGCCCCACACAGAAGCCCUGAUCAAUCCAAGACGGUCAUGAAGACCUCAAAAAGCCUGCCUAUGUUAAGAGAUAUGUCUUGUAGAGAGGCAUCCACAUAUGUGGAAACUGAGUUUCAAAGGGUCCCUGAAGGCCAAGGGACUCAUCAGAACAGUGUUGCCUGCGGCCACUACUAAGAAAUGCUGCAGCGGGGAUGGAAACUCCUUCCUACAGAGGAACGGCUCCCUUAACGUCCUGGAGGCCUCCCUGCUUUUCCGUCUUCACCCAAGGCACCUACCACUCACUGCUCCCACCAAUAACCAGGCAACUGCUCUCAUUCAAGGCCUGAGGAUUUCUGUCUUUAACUUCUGGAAUAGACUCUGACCUGAUUUCUCCGCCUCAUCCACACAAAAGCCUGAAGGAACUUGCAAGUGUAUGAAUCUGAUCAAGUCAUUCUGCUUCUUAAAACUUUUGUGUGUCUCUGACGCCUUUGGAGGUAAGGUCUGCUGUUGGUUUGGCAUUCAAGGCCCCCCCUGGCUGCAGGAGCCCGCCUCAUGCCCCGGGCCUCCCCAUCUGUACUCACCCAGAAUGGGCACACUGCCUCACACCUCUUUAUGCCUUUCUGUGGGAACUUCCCCUGCGUGUGCCUGCCAGGCAGUCCUGAUUCACCUUUGUGAUCUCCGGCAUCUUCCUUUUAUCCCUGGAGUCUUUCCGGAGAACACCCACCACAGUCGGUCUCCCCCACCAUGAGCAGUGGAGUGACUCUCCAUCUUGUACCACUUAUUCCUAUUAUAUCUCCCACUCCCCUGUAAUAUUUGUUUCCUUCAUUUUCAAGGGAGGAGAUAUCUUCCCCCAAGGGGGAGAGAAGUAGUUCCUGGAGGAGAGGCUGGAAAAAAACGUACUCUUUUUAUUAUAAAACACUGAUAUGCAUACAAUUCAUAAAUAUAUACAGAGUGUAUCUGUGGUAUUAAAAUUUCACAGAGGGCAGGGGACGAAGAGGAAAAAAUGUCUAAGAAGGCUCCUUAGAGGCCAAUAAUGAAAAAUAGGUUGAGAAAUACAGAACUGAUUUAUUCAUACAUCUUUCUUACCAAUUGGACUGUGAGCCCUUUGUGAGUCCCCAGAGCUGAUAGAAUGUUUUGAAUACAUGUGUAAUGUUAAAAGCUGAAGGCAUGUGUACUUGAAUGAAUUCUCCCAGUAAUCCUUUGGGGUGGCAUUACUGUCCCACUGGGGGAAGAUUAGGAAACAGGUGCUAAGUGCCCCUUCCCCACCUCCACUACCAAAGUUCCAGAGUUAUUAAGGGUAAAGUAGAAACAUUUUAAAUUAAGGAAUUCUAGAGUCCAAAUCUAAUGUUCUUUUAUACUUUAGUAUAAUUGAGAUAAUUUACACAAAAACGGGAAAAUGUGUUUCCCAAUUUGCCUUCAGCAUCCAAAAAUGCUCUGGUUGGAAUAUCCUAAACCAAUUUGAGCACCCAAGAACAACCUUGGCAAAUCAAACCUGUGGUCUUGCAGACUCAAGCAAAGAUGCCCCAGCCCUUGGCUGGGUUUGGGUGAGGAUGGUGGCCUUCACCUGACUCCCGAGAAUCCAAGGUAUAAUCAAGUGGAGACGACACCACCCACGUACUUUGUAACCCUGAGCCUUGCAAUUGAUCUAAUUAAAUUAAUUUUUAAAAAAUCCAGCCUUGAGCCUCUCCAGUGUAUUGAACUGAGCAGCGUAAGGGGCUACUUUGCCCUCAAGAGGCAGGGGUGGUGGAAUGAGAAAGAAUACACACAAUUGUAAUGCAAGAUUCAACAAGAUGACGGUCACGAGAGAGACAGGCAACUCUAAGCCAGGAGAUGAUCUACAAUGGGAAAUAAUGAGGAUGGAGAUGUUAUUAAUAAAGAUGCUUUCCUGUUGACAGCAAAGUGCAACAUCUAUAAAAUGGUUUUAUGAGUAAAUUUGCUGAAGCAGGAAGAGCUUAGUAGUUCAGACCAGUGUUUUAUUCUUUCCAAGGUCAAGAUGAGGUUUGAAAUUGGAUUUACGGGGCUGUUUGUUCAAUCAAACUCCUGAGCUUAUGAGCAGUGGAAAAUCCUUGCUGAAUGACAGUUCAUCUGCCUGAGAUGAAACCUUUUGCUUUUAAACAUAAAUACUUCAUCCAUACAGAAAAAGUGCACUGAUCAUAAGUGUACAGGUCAAUGAAUUUGCACAAAAAGACCAAACCCUUGUUAACAACCACCCAGAUGAAGAAAUAGAACAUUAUUGCAUCCUAAAAGCCAUCUUAGUUACCAUAGAUUAGUUUUGCCUUUUUUGAACUUUAAAGAAAUGGAAUCUUACAAUAUAUACUCCAUGUGUCUGAUUUCUUUUGGUCAACAAUAUGUCUGUGAGCUUCAUCCAGAGUGUUGUAAGUAGCAAUAAUUUGCUCAUUCUCAUUGCUGAAAGAAUUUCAUUGUGUGGACAUACUACAUUUAUUUCCCAACUCUACUGUUGGUGAACAUUUGGAUUGUUUCCACUUUUUGGUCAUUAUGUAUGCCGCUACUAUGAAUAUUUUUCCUACAUGUCUUUUGACAAGCAUAUGUACUGAUACAUACCUAGGAGUAGAAGUACCAGUUGAUAAGGUAUACAUAUGUCCCGAUUUAGUCAAUUUUGCUAAAUACAUUUGAAAAGUAGUUGUAUCAACUGUAUACUACCACUGUAUAAUAAUAGUGUGCAAGAGUUCCAAAUAUUCCAAAUGUUCUCCAGUACUUGGUGUUGAAUAUCUUUUUCAUUUUGGCCAUUCUGGUGUCUAUUUCUGAAGCUCAUGAUUUUAAUUUGCAUUCUCCUAAUGACUAAUGUAGUUAGGCAUCUAUUCAUAUGUUUACUCGCCUUUUGGAUUUUCUUUUUUGUAAACUACUUUUUCAAAUAUAUUGUAUAUUUGUCUGUA